UACGGAGGGUGCGAGCGUUGUCCGGAAUCACUGGGCGUAAAGGGCGCGUAGGCGGCUCAUGAAGGCUGUGGUGAAAGUCCGGGGCUCAACCUCGGAUCGGCCGUGGCGACUCGUGGGCUGGAGCACUGUAGAGGCGGGUGGAAUUCCGGGUGUAGCGGUGGAAUGCGUAGAGAUCCGGAAGAACACCAGUGGCGAAGGCGACUACCUGGCCCACUCUUGACGCUGAGGCGCGAAAGCUAGGGGAGCGAACGGG
rnacentral:rRNA from 1 species